GGCGUGACCAUAGAAUGACAGGACUUCUGCCAGGUGUCCAGGGUUCUGCUGGAGGUCAGUGUACCUGAGGACAGGGGAGGGGAGGAGAGGAGUUAGCAGACAGGAGGCGGGUGAGAGGCGGGGUCGAUGUUAGUGGCAGUUGGACAAAUGUCUAGAAUCGACUUGACGUCAAGAAUUUAUUUGAGUUUGUGAAAUCAUGUUGGACAGGUGUGAGGCAGAGACAGCUGCUGUUCUGCAAGAUUCCUCCACUUCCCACCACGGCACAACGACUCAACGAACCUUUACUCCAGGGACAGACUCUGGUUCAGAUUGGUGUUCUGUCUGGUCACCAUCAGCCUAUCAGACGCAUUACAGCACGACCACAACUCUGCCCUUGGGGAGCGGGGACAACAGGACAGAACGUUUGUUGCAGAAGAUCGCAAGACUGAGCAAAGUGUGUGUGUGUGUGUGUGUCUCACCUGUAUAGUUCUCUGUGUGUGAGGUUGAGUCUCCAAGGACAGUCCAUCAGCUCUCUCACAUCCUGAGAGAACAGGGCAAUGUCCACUCUGAGACACACAAACACACGGAGGAGAACUUGUUGGAUCAGGCUGGAAGUUGGAUUGUCAUGUUGAUCUGAUCUAUACUAGUACAUAUAGAAUGAUCAUGAAACAUAGGAAGAACAAGUCAGGCAAAGGGAGAAACUCUCUCGCUUUCACUCACUGACCCCAGGAAGAUUAGGUGACAGCAUGGUGUCAGCUAAUCAUUCAAAUUCAAAACGCCACCUACUUUUUUAUAGUACUCAUGGUCACCAGUCUCUUUCUCAGUCUCCUACACUGCAACCCCUUCUGAACAGAGUCCAGGAACCCAUCUCUGCAACAGGCAAGCGAACAAAGCAGAACAGUUGUUGGUAAAGCAAAUCAAAAACAAAGCAACAGUAAACAUGUCAUCCCCCACGAAUGAUGCAGCACCACCUUCCUUGGGCAAAAUAAAAUUUAACUAUACUGAUAGUAAAAAAUUUAAAAGCCCAUUAUAGCACCAUGAAUGUUCUUGUAUAUGUUGAGUUUUGACAGUGUUUGCAAAAUGUGUACCAAAUUUGUUAUAGUAUUAAUAUCUGGGAUGGAUUUAUAUGCAUUUAUGUGCCAGACCUUGCCCACGUAAUUGUUUUUUGGUCAAUAGCGGCCAUGUUGUUUUAGUUACUAGUCUGGGAAAUAUUGCAUUGAGAGACCUUUGUCCAUAGAUGCCACAUCAAGUUUCAUGCAGAUCGGUCAUUCGGUGCCAGCUGAGUAGUGUUUUGUGUUUUCACAAAAUAAAAAAUGGCGGAAAAUCUA